rnacentral:rRNA from 1 species
UACAGAGGUCUCAAGCGUUUGUUCGGAUUCAUUGGGCGUAAAGGGUGUGUAGGUGGCGCGCUAAGUCGGGUGUGAAAUUUCGGAGCUUAACUCCGAAACUGCAUUCGAUACUGGCGUGCUUGAGGACUGGAGAGGAGACUGGAAUUCAUGGUGUAGCAGUGAAAUGCGUAGAGAUCAUGAGGAAGACCAGUGGCGAAGGCGGGUCUCUGGACAGUUCCUGACACUAAGACACGAAGGCCAGGGGAGCAAACGGG